AACCAUUCUCACCUGCGGCUAGACCUGCGGAGGGAUCAUUACCGAGUGCGGGCCCUCCGGGUCCAACCUCCCACCCGUGUCUACUACACCUUGUUGCUUCGGCGGGCCCGCCCGCUUGCGGCCGCCGGGGGGCUCCCUUGCCCCCGGGCCCGUGCCCGCCGGAGACACCAGCGUGAACACUGUCUGAAGGCUGCCGUCUGAGUGGAUUGAUAGAAUCGUUAAAACUUUUAACAAUGGAUC
rnacentral:misc_RNA from 1 species